rnacentral:tRNA from 1 species
ACCGCGACAGCUUAACUGGGAGAGCAUCUGCCCGGUAUGCGGAAGGUCGCCGGUUCGUUUCCGGCUCGCGUCG